UACGGAGGGUGCGAGCGUUGUCCGGAAUCACUGGGCGUAAAGGGCGCGUAGGCGGUUGUUUAAGUCUGUCGUGAAAUCCCCGGGCUCAACCUGGGAAUGGCGAUGGAUACUGGACAGCUAGAGUGUGUCAGAGGAUGGUGGAAUUCCCGGUGUAGCGGUGAAAUGCGUAGAGAUCGGGAGGAACAUCAGUGGCGAAGGCGGCCAUCUGGGACAACACUGACGCUGAAGCACGAAAGCGUGGGGAGCAAACAGG
rnacentral:rRNA from 1 species